rnacentral:rRNA from 1 species
GGGUUGUGAGGUUAAGCGACUAAGCGUACACGGUGGAUGCCCUGGCAGUCAGAGGCGAUGAAGGGCGUGCUAAUCUGCGAUAAGCGCCGGUAAGGUGAUAUGAACCGUUAUAACCGGCGAUACCCGAAUGGGGAAACCCAGUGUGAUUCGUCACACUAUCAUUAACUGAAUCCAUAGGUUAAUGAGGCGAACCGGGGGAACUGAAACAUCUAAGUACCCCGAGGAAAAGAAAUCAACCGAGAUUCCCCCAGUAGCGGCGAGCGAACGGGGAGGAGCCCAGAGCCUGAAUCAGCAUGUGUGUUAGUGGAAGCGUCUGGAAAGGCGCGCGAUACAGGGUGACAGCCCCGUACACAAAAGCGCAUAUGCUGUGAGCUCGAUGAGUAGGGCGGGACACGUGGUAUCCUGUCUGAAUAUGGGGGGACCAUCCUCCAAGGCUAAAUACUCCUGACUGACCGAUAGUGAACCAGUACCGUGAGGGAAAGGCGAAAAGAACCCCGGCGAGGGGAGUGAAAAAGAACCUGAAACCGUGUACGUACAAGCAGUGGGAGCACCCUUUGGGGUGUGACUGCGUACCUUUUGUAUAAUGGGUCAGCGACUUAUAUUCUGUAGCAAGGUUAACCGUAUAGGGGAGCCG